AUUCAAAAUAUACCUUCAAAAAUACUGCAAUAUAAAAGACUGUUAGAAAGAGGUUGGAAAAAGAAUAUUAGGUCGUUUUGGUAGAUAUGAUAUAAUGGAUUAAGCAAAAACGAGUUGAUGAAAUUGAUGAAAUAGAGGAGGUUUAAUUACAUUAUUUUAAUUUUAAAAUACGUAAAUGAAAAUAAGGUUAGAAGGAUUUGCUGGAAACAUGAUCUGAACUAGAAUACAAAAUUGGGAGGUGAGAGGAGGUCAUGGAAAUAAGUAAAGAGAAAAGGCUAUGUAAAGGUUUAAUCUGUUUUCGUUUUAUUUCAGCUUAAUGUAUUUUUAUAUUUUUUGUUAAGUCUUCUUUUUUAUUCUAUUUUAUUGUUCUUUUUUACUUGUUCAUUUUUCGCUUUGUUAUGGCUAAAGUUUUCUUUGUAUUUUGUAUGGUUUUUCUUUUUCUUUUUUGUAACUUUAAAUUUGGAAUAAAUAUCAU